rnacentral:misc_RNA from 1 species
GAUGAAGAACGCAGCGAAAUGCGAUACGUAAUGUGAAUUGCAAAUUCAGUGAAUCAUCGAGUCUUUGAACGCACAUUGCGCCCCCUGGUAUUCCGGGUGGCAUGCCUGUCCGAGCGUCAUUGCUGCCCUCAAGCACGGCUUGUGUGUUGGGCCCCGUCCUCCGAUCCCGGGGGACGGGCCCGAAAGGCAGCGGCGGCACCGCGUCCGGUCCUCGAGCGUAUGGGGCUUUGUCACCCGCUCUGUAGGCCCGGCCGGCGCUUGCCGAUCAACCCAAAUUUUUAUCCAGGUUGACCUCGGAUCAGGUAGGGAUACCCGCUGAACUUAAGCAUAUCAAUAACGGAGGA